ACUCAACGUUAUUUCUUUAAAAAGGGUGAGUUUAAACUGUAAAACCGUGCUGCCUUGAGCAGAUUUUUGAUCAGUUUGUUAGCCCUAAACUUGUUUUAAGGAGUUU
rnacentral:sRNA from 1 species